rnacentral:rRNA from 1 species
AUGGGCAUGGAUGACCACGAAUUCCGGCUGCUCACGAUCCCUCCGCCCAUCCACCCCGAGGAUCCGGACUCUCCUCUUCCGGAGACCAUCCUCAUCGACUCGUUCGGCUACCUCAGCGACCGCACCAACGCCACCACUGCCAAUGGCCGCAGGAGCAGGACCAAGAAGAAGGGCAAGCGCAUCCUGGUCACCUUCUGGCCGGCUGCCCCGCCGCGCGUCUCCUGCUUCACCGUCCACUGCCCAGAUCUGAAGCCCGACGCGUACGGCAGCAUCCCCAAGGUCUGCUACACGGAGGACGGCCUCGCCCUGCUCUGCAUCACCAUCUGCCCCGAGCGCCAGUACAUGUAUCCCAAGAACAUCUGCUACUUCGUCUACCAGGCCGGCACCAAGAACACUCCGCCGUCGGUCAAGCUCGUCCACUCGCCCCCCGACUUCACCUUCUUCGACCACGAGGUCGCGUUGCUGCGCCGCCGCGACCAGGACAUGUUCUUCAUCGCCGUGCUCCGCAGGGCCUUCGUUGAGCGGGAGUUCACCGACGGGCACUUUAAUCUCCACCUGUACAGCUCCAAGACAAAGACAUGGAGCACCAAGCUGAUGCACCUUGAUUCGCCGCCGGAUUUUGAGUUCCAUUCUCUCAACAAGGGGAUCACCAUCGGAGGGGAGCAUGGCUCCGUUGGUUGGGUCGACCUUAGGCGCGGCAUUAUCAUCUGUGACCUUCUCCUCCUUGACAGCAACCAGAGCCUUCGCUACGUCCCGCUGCCUUCGCCGCUGUCGCCCGAGCCACUACAGCGUUAUCCGUUGUCUGUUCGGAACAUCGUUGUCCUCCAAGGUUACAUCAAGUAUUUCGAGAUGCACAAUAAUGUCAGACCGAGCUCAUACACUGGAAGCUCCCCGAUAUUAGAAGGUUGGAUUGCUGCAACAAAAAAGAUAAAAAUUUCAAGCAUUGGUUCUGGUAGUAACUGGGAGAAGGACUGCACUAUCAGAUGCUGUGAUGAUGUCCCAGUGGAUAACCCUGUGUAUGCCCAAAUGUUACCUAAUCCGCAGGAGGGUGAUGAUACCAAGCCAAACCUGAAGAAAAUUUGUGUAGGCUAUCCUGCUCUUAGCUUGCAUGAUGGUGAUGUUGUUUACCUCAUGCACACACCUGAUCCCCAUGAGGGUAAGGCCUGUGUGAUUGCUCUUGAUAUGAGGAACAAGACUGUAAAAGGCGUGGCUAAUUUUGGCUCUGGAAGACCCCUGCGUUAUCAUUUCACCUACCUUGAGAGUGGGAUCUCCAAGCAUCUGGGCAUUCUCUUACCGACCAGGUAA